GAGCAAUGAUUAAACCUGUGCUAAUGUGACUGGUUGGGUCCGUCACAGCUGACUGAUCUCUUGAUUAGAUCACAUCAGCACACGUGAGCUC